GCAUAUCAAUAAGCGGAGGAAAAGAAACCAACAGGGAUUACCUCAGUAACGGCGAGUGAAGCGGUAACAGCUCAAAUUUGAAAGCUAGCUCUUUUAGGGUUCGCAUUGUAAUUUGUAGAAGAUGCUUCGGGUGUGGCCCCGGUCUAAGUUCCUUGGAACAGGACGUCAUAGAGGGUGAGAAUCCCGUAUGUGACUGGGUGCUUUCGCUCAUGUGAAGCUCUUUCGACGAGUCGAGUUGUUUGGGAAUGCAGCUCAAAAUGGGUGGUAAAUUUCAUCUAAAGCUAAAUAUUGGCCAGAGACCGAUAGCGCACAAGUAGAGUGAUCGAAAGAUGAAAAGCACUUUGGAAAGAGAGUUAAACAGUACGUGAAAUUGUUGAAAGGGAAGCGCUUGCAACCAGACUUGCGCGCUGAUGAUCAUCCGGGCUUCUGUCCGGUGCACUCGUCUGCGCUCAGGCCAGCAUCGGUUUCGGUGGUGGGAUAAAGGCCUUGGGAAUGUAGCUUCUUUCGGGGAGUGUUAUAGCCCUCGGUGCAAUGCCGCCUACCGGGACCGAGGACCGCGCUUCGGCUAGGAUGCUGGCGUAAUGGUUGUAAGCGACCCGUCUUGAAACACGGACCAAGGAGUCUAACAUCUAUGCGAGUGUUUGGGUGUCAAACCCAUACGCGUAAUGAAAGUGAACGGAGGUGAGAACCCUUAAGGGUGCAUCAUCGACCGAUCCUGAUGUCUUCGGAUGGAUUUGAGUAAGAGCAUAGCUGUUGGGACCCGAAAGAUGGUGAACUAUGCGUGAAUAGGGUGAAGCCAGAGGAAACUCUGGUGGAGGCUCGCAGCGGUUUCUGACGUGCAAAUCGAUCGUCAAAUUUGCGUAUAGGGGCGAAAGACUAAUCGAACCAUCUAGUAGCUGGUUCCUGCCGA
rnacentral:rRNA from 1 species